CCUACGGGAGGCAGCAGUGAGGAAUAUUGGUCAAUGGCCGGAAGGCUGAACCAGUCAAGCCGCGUGAGGGAGGAAGGCGCACAGCGUCUCAGACCUCUUUUGCCGGGGGACAAAAGGCCGGACUCGUCCGGUCCUGAGGGUACCCGGAGAAAAAGCAUCGGCUAACUCCGUGCCAGCACCCGCGGUAAUACGGGGGAUGCGAGCGUUAUCCGGAUUCAUUGGGUUUAAGGGGUGCGCAGGCGGGCCUUUAAGCUGGCGGUGAAAUCGCGGGGCCAAACCCCGCCGAGCCGUCGGAACUGGGGGCCUUGAGGGCAGCGGAGGAAUGCGGAAUGCGAGGUGUAGCGGUGAAAUGCAUAGAUAUCGCGCAGAACACCGAUUGCGAAGGCAGCGUGCCGGGCCGCAACUGACGCUGAGGCACGAAAGCGCGGGGAUCGAACAGGAUUAGAUACCCGAGUAGUC
rnacentral:rRNA from 1 species